rnacentral:rRNA from 1 species
GACGAACGCUGGCGGCGUGCUUAACACAUGCAAGUCGAACGGUAAGGCCCUGCUUUUGUGGGGUGUUCGAGUGGCGAACGUGUGAGUAACACGUGAGUAACCUGCCCUUGACUUUGGGCUAACUUCUGGAAACUGGGGCUAAUACCGGAUAGGAGCUCCUGCUGCAUGUUGGGGGUUGGAAAGUUUCGGCGGUUGGGGAUGGACUCGCGGCUUAUCAGUUUGUUGGUGGGGUAGUGGCUUACCAAGGCUUUGACGGGUAGCCGGCCUGAGAGGGUGACCGGCCACAUUGGGACUGAGAUACGGCCCAGACUCCUACGGGAGGCAGCAGUGGGGAAUAUUGCACAAUGGGCGGAAGCCUGAUGCAGCAACGCCGCGUGCGGGAUGACGGCCUUCGGGUUGUAAACCGCUUUCGCCUGUGACGAAGCGUGAGUGACGGUAAUGGGUAAAGAAGCACCGGCUAACUACGUG